rnacentral:rRNA from 1 species
CAGUUCGGAUUGCAGGCUGCAACUCGCCUGCAUGAAGUCGGAAUUGCUAGUAAUCGCGGAUCAGCAUGCCGCGGUGAAUACGUUCUCGGGCCUUGUACACACCGCCCGUCACACCAUGGGAGUUUGUAACGCCCAAAGUCGGUGGCCUAACCUUUAUGGAGGGAGCCGCCUAAGGCGGGACAGAUGACUGGGGUGAAGUCGUAACAAGGUACC